rnacentral:piRNA from 1 species
UAAACAGAGAAAAAGGAGAUGUCCAGA